AGAGUUUGAUCCUGGCUCAGGAUGAACGCUGGCGGCGUGCUUAACACAUGCAAGUCGAACGAAGCACGGGGACGGAAGCCCUCCGGGGUGGAAGGCCGCGUGACUGAGUGGCGGACGGGUGAGUAACGCGUGGGUAACCUGCCCCAUACAGGGGGAUAACAGCCGGAAACGGCUGCUAAUACCGCAUGCACAUGCGGGGGCGCAUGCCCCUGGAUGGAAAGCUUUCGCGGUAUGGGAUGGGCCCGCGUCUGAUUAGGCAGUUGGCGGGGUAACGGCCCACCAAACCGACGAUCAGUAGCCGGCCUGAGAGGGCAACCGGCCACAUUGGGACUGAGACACGGCCCAAACUCCUACGGGAGGCAGCAGUGGGGAAUAUUGCACAAUGGGGGGGACCCUGAUGCAGCGACGCCGCGUGGGUGAAGGAGUAUUUCGGUAUGUAAAGCCCUAUCAGCAGGGAAGAACAAUGACGGUACCUGACUAAGAAGCACCGGCUAAAUACGUG
rnacentral:rRNA from 1 species